rnacentral:ncRNA from 1 species
GAGAAGUUUUAUUCUUGCUUUGUCAUUCAGUUUUUGUUUGUUUUAUAUGUAAGUUUGUGCGUGUUUUUCUUAUAUUUCUAGAUGGGGUGUUAAGGAAUUUAAAAGGUUUACUGUCUGAGUUAUUCUCAUUAAUUAUUAUUGGUUGGUCAAGUACUCUUGUAUCUAGCAAUUCGUUUUAGUUUCGGUUAAAUUUUGUGCCAGCAGCCGCGGUUAUACCUUGGAGGCGUUUGAAUGUGUUCGGCAAUUGUAGUUUUAUGUUAAGUUUAUUUGACUUUAAUGUUGUAAUUUUUAGGUGGAAUUUUUAUUAUUUUUAUUGUCUUUUGUUUCUUUGUAGGCUAUUAAAUUCCUUUUGUAAACUAGGAUUAGAUACCCUAUUAUUUUGGAACGUUAAUUUUGUUUGCCUGAGUAGUAUUAGUUAUGUUCUUGAAACUUAAAGAAUUUGGCGGUAUCUUAUUCCAUUCAGAGGAAUCUGUCUCGUUAUCGAUAGUCCGCGUUGGACCUUACUUAGUUGCUAUGGUUUGUAUACCGCCGUUUAUUGAUUAUCUUUUUAGAGUUUAUAUAAUUUUCUGGUUUCUUUAUUUUGAUUUAUUUCAGGUCAAGGUGCAGCUUGUUUCUAAGUGGAUGAUGGAUUACAUUGUUAUUUGUUUAAUUGGAUUGUUGGUUUUGAUAUCAGCGUGAAAUUGGAUUUGGUUGUAAUGUUUUGUAGAUUGUUUUCAUGAUAAUUGGUUCUGAGAUAUGUACACAUCGCCCGUCGCUCUCGUUCAUUUUAAUGAGAUAAGUCGUAACAAAGUGGUUGUACCGGAAGGUGCAGCUGGAUUGAU